rnacentral:snRNA from 1 species
GAUUUUCAGUACGAAUACG